GACGUAGGGGGCCAGCGUUGCUCGGAAUUACUGGGCGUAAAGGGUCCGUAGGCGGUGUGGUAAGUCGGGAGUGAAAUCUCUGGGCUUAACUCAGAGGCUGCUUCCGAAACUGCCGUGCUAGAGUGCGAGAGAGGCAAGUGGAAUUGCGGGUGUAGCGGUGAAAUGCGUAGAUAUCCGCAGGAACAUCCGAGGCGAAAGCGGCUUGCUGGAUCGCAACUGACGCUGAGGGACGAAAGCUAGGGGAGCAAACAGG
rnacentral:misc_RNA from 1 species